rnacentral:rRNA from 1 species
GUCCACGCCCUAAACGAUGCGAACUGGACGUUGGGAGCAACUAGGCUCUCAGUGUCGAAGCUAACGCGUUAAGUUCGCCGCCUGGGGAGUACGGUCGCAAGACUGAAACUCAAAGGAAUUGACGGGGCCCGCACAAGCGGUGGAGUAUGUGGUUUAAUUCGAUGCAACGCGCAGAACCUUACCUGGUCUUGACAUCCACGGAACCUUGCAGAGAUGCGGGGGUGCCUUCGGGAACCGUGAGACAGGUGCUGCAUGGCUGUCGU